AGUGGCGCACGGGUGAGUAACGCGUGGGAAUCUGCCCCUGAGUGGAGAAUACCUUCGAGAAAUCGAGGUUAAUACUGCAUAAGCCUGUAUCUGAAGAGGUAUAGGGAAAGAAGGCCUAUAAGCUUUCGCUGAGGGAUGAGCCUGCGUACUAUUAGCUAGUUGGUGGGGUAAGAGCCUACCAAGGCGAAGAUGGUUAGCCGGCCUGAGAGGGUGACCGGCCACAAUGGAAAUGAGAGACGGUCCAUACUCCUACGGGAGGCAGCAGUGGGGAAUAUUGCACAAUGGGCGCAAGCCUGAUGCAGCGACGCCGCGUGGAGGAAGAAGGUUUUCGGAUUGUAAACUCCUGUUAAGUGGGAAGAAAAGCUACGGGGUAAUAUCCCGUAGUGUUGACAGUACCAUUAGAGAAAGCACCGGCAAACUUCGUGCCAGCAGCCGCGGUAAGACGAAGGGUGCAAGCGUUAUUCGGAGUAACUGGGCGUAAAGAGCGUGAAGGCGGUCUGCUAAGUUAGAUGUUAAAUACCACGGCAUAACUGUGGCGAUGCAUCUGAAACUGGUGGACUAGAGCACAAGAGAGAGAAGUGGAAUUCCCGGAGUAGCGGUAAAAUGCGUAGAUCUCGGGAGGAACACCGGUGGCGAAGGCGGCUUCUUGGCUUGUGGCUGACGCUAAAGCGCGAAAGCGUGGGGAGCAAACAGGAUUAGAUACCCUGGUAGUCCACGCUGUAAACGAUGAUCACUGGAUGUGGGCACUGCGAAGCAGGGUCUGUGUCGAAGCUAACGCGUUAAGUGAUCCGCCUGGGAAGUACGGUCGCAAGAUUAAAACUCAAAGGAAUUGACGGGGGUCCGCACAAGCGGUGGAACAUGUGGUUUAAUUCGACACUACGCGAGGAACCUUACCUGGGUUUGACAUGCAACUGCUACUGAUAGAAAUAUUGGGUUUGGUAGAAAUACCGACGGUUGCACAGGUGCUGCAUGGCUGUCGUCAGCUCGUGUCGUGAGAUGUUGGGUUAAGUCCUUUAACGAGCGCAACCCCUACUGUUAGUUGCUCAUUACGCAAGUAGUAGCACUCUAAUGGGACUGCCUGGGAAACCAGGAGGAAGGUGGGGAUGACGUCAAGUCCGCAUGGCCCUUAUAUCCAGGGCGACACACGUGUUACAAUGGCGAGUACAAAGGGAAGCAAAGCCGCGAGGUGGAGCGAAUCUCAUAAAGCUCGUCUAAGUUGGGAUUGAAGUCUGCAACCCGACUUCAUGAACCUGAAAUCGCUAGUAAUCGCAUAUCAGAACGAUGCGGUGAUACGUUCUCGGGCCUUGUACACACCGCCCGUCACACCACGAAAGCCGUCCGCACCCGAA
rnacentral:rRNA from 1 species